rnacentral:rRNA from 1 species
AGCAGCCGCGGUAAUUCCAGCUCCAAUAGCGUAUAUUAAAGUUGUUGCAGUUAAAAAGCUCGUAGUUGAAUUUCGGGACUAGUACGCUGGUCAUGCCUUUGGUAUGUACUGGUGUUACUGGUUCCUACCUUCUGACGAACUGUCAUGUCAUUCAUUUGGUGUGGCGGGGAAUCAGGACUGUUACUUUGAAAAAAUUAGAGUGUUUAAAGCAGGCUCGCGCUUGAAUACAUUAGCAUGGAAUAAUGAAAUAGGACGUUUGAUCCUAUUUUGUUGGUUUCUAGGAUUGACGUAAUGAUUAAUAGGGAUAGUUGGGGGCAUUAGUAUUCAAUUGUCAGAGGUGAAAUUCUUGGAUUUAUUGAAGACUAACUACUGCGAAAGCAUUUGCCAAGGAUGUUUUCAUUAAUCAAGAACGAAAGUUAGGUGAUCGAAGACGAUCAGAUACCGUCGUAG